rnacentral:tRNA from 1 species
UUGUAGUCUAGUUGGUUAAGAUACUCGGCUCUCACCCGAGAGACCCGGGUUCAAGUCUCGACAA